rnacentral:rRNA from 2 species
UGCAAGUCGAGCGGAUCUUCAUUAGCUUGCUUUUGAAGAUCAGCGGCGGACGGGUGAGUAACACGUGGGCAACCUGCCUGUAAGACUGGGAUAACUUCGGGAAACCGGAGCUAAUACCGGAUAAUCCUUUCCCUCACAUGAGGGAAAGCUGAAAGACGGUUUCGGCUGUCACUUACAGAUGGGCCCGCGGCGCAUUAGCUAGUUGGUGAGGUAAUGGCUCACCAAGGCAACGAUGCGUAGCCGACCUGAGAGGGUGAUCGGCCACACUGGGACUGAGACACGGCCCAGACUCCUACGGGAGGCAGCAGUAGGGAAUCUUCCGCAAUGGACGAAAGUCUGACGGAGCAACGCCGCGUGAACGAUGAAGGCUUUCGGGUCGUAAAGUUCUGUUGUCAGGGAAGAACAAGUACCGGAGUAACUGCCGGUACCUUGACGGUACCUGACCAGAAAGCCACGGCUAACUACGUGCCAGCAGCCGCGGUAAUACGUAGGUGGCAAGCGUUGUCCGGAAUUAUUGGGCGUAAAGCGCGCGCAGGCGGUUCCUUAAGUCUGAUGUGAAAGCCCCCGGCUCAACCGGGGAGGGUCAUUGGAAACUGGGGAACUUGAGUGCAGAAGAGGAGAGCGGAAUUCCACGUGUAGCGGUGAAAUGCGUAGAGAUGUGGAGGAACACCAGUGGCGAAGGCGGCUCUCUGGUCUGUAACUGACGCUGAGGCGCGAAAGCGUGGGGAGCGAACAGGAUUAGAUACCCUGGUAGUCCACGCCGUAAACGAUGAGUGCUAAGUGUUAGAGGGUUUCCGCCCUUUAGUGCUGCAGCAAACGCAUUAAGCACUCCGCCUGGGGAGUACGGCCGCAAGGCUGAAACUCAAAGGAAUUGACGGGGGCCCGCACAAGCGGUGGAGCAUGUGGUUUAAUUCGAAGCAACGCGAAGAACCUUACCAGGUCUUGACAUCCUCUGACACCCUAGAGAUAGGGCGUUCUCCUUCGGGGACAGAGUGACAGUGGUGCAUGGUU